rnacentral:rRNA from 1 species
AUUGAACGCUGGCGGCAGGCCUAACACAUGCAAGUCGAACGGAGCGGCGGACGGGUGAGGAAUGCCUAGGAAUCUGCCUGGUAGUGGGGGAUAACGUCCGGAAACGGGCGCUAAUACCGCAUCCUAUCAGAUGAGCCUAGGUCGGAUUAGCUAGUUGGUGGGGUAAAGGCCUACAACGGCGACGAUCCAUAACUGGUCUGAGAGGAUGAUCAGUAACACUGGAACUGAGACACGGUCCAGACGCCUACGGUAGGCAGCAGUGGGGAAUAUUGGACAAUGGGCGAAAGCCUGAUCCAGCCAUGCCGCGUGUGGGAAGAAGGUCUUCGGAUUGUAAAGCACUUUAAGUUGGGAGGCGUUACCAACAGAAUAAGCCCCGGCUAACUUCGUGCCAGCAGCCGCGGUAAUUC